rnacentral:rRNA from 1 species
GACGAACGCUGGCGGCGUGCUUAACACAUGCAAGUCGAGCGAAGAAGCUUCUUCGGAAGUGGAUUAGCGGCGGACGGGUGAGUAACACGUGGGUAACCUGCCUUAUAGUGGGGAAUAGCCUUUCGAAAGGAAGAUUAAUACCCCAUAAGAUUGUAGUUUCGCAUGAAACAGCAAUUAAAGGAGCAAUUCGCUAUAAGAUGGACCCACGGCGCAUUAGCUAGUUGGUGAGGUAACGGCCCACCAAGGCGACGAUGCGUAGCCGACCUGAGAGGGUGAUCGGCCACAUUGGGACUGAGACACGGCCCAGACUCCUACGGGAGGCAGCAGUGGGGAAUAUUGCACAAUGGGGGAAACCCUGAUGCAGCAACGCCGCGUGAGUGAUGACGGUCUUCGGAUUGUAAAGCUCUGUCUUUAGGGACGAUAAUGACGGUACCUAAGGAGGAAGCCACGGCUAACUACGUGCCAGCCGCCGCAGUAAUAC